UACAUAAUUUAGAGAAUUACACCAAAAAACCUAAACCUUCUUCUCCUUCAUUCCUCGACACAUCUCUUCUUCAAAAAGCACACACGAGAAGAAAAACGAAAUCUCUUCUUCGCCGGAUGUCUUCGUCGCUGGAUCUCUCCGCCGGAUCUCUCGCCGGAAUCCACUCCUCUUUGAUCUCUUCGCCGGAUCUCUUCUUCUCUCUCUCGUGCGUGGGUUUAAGGUGUUACGGAUUGAAUUAGCUGCGACCAUUGUUUGAGAGAUGUUACGGAUUGAAAUCGCUGCAACCACUGUUUGAGAGAUGUUGAAGGUUGAUCUUAAGGCUGAGGCAGAGAAGACUGAUGGUGGUGUUGGAACUGGUAACCAGAAUAAGAAUUUAAAGACUUUGACAAAGGAGAUGCUCUAUAUAAAGAAUUUGACAAAGGAGAUGCUCUAUAUGAGGCUCGCUCAAAACUAGCUUGAUAACAUCGUAUUUUAGCCCACUUUUACUAUGUUUUAUUUAGGUUUUCCAUGGAGAAAACAGGAGAUAUUGGAGAUUUCAAGGAUGUUUUCAAGUAUUUAUGCUUCAAGGAUGAAUAAUGUGUUUUCAAGCAAAAAGGAGUAAAAGACGAUCAAAUCCCGUUUCAAGACAGUUUCUGUGUCUCAGAAGUAUAGCGUCCGUUCGAGGUCUUCCCGAUUACCUAAUCUAGAGAUCUUGGUGGCUGUGGAAAGCUAGGAGAGUCAAGAUUCACCUCAAAGUAGAAUCGGAGAUUUUCAUCGAGCCAAUUGGAAGUUAUUCCCUGAGGAGUGAAUACAUGUCCCGGACCGGCCAGACAGCCUCGCGACCGGUUCGGAGCUUUCUGACGUCCCCGGUCGUGGAGCCCGUGCCCGAGCUGCUCUUUACGCCUCACCUCGGUCAUCACUCGUCGUGCCCUGUCCAGAAACUCGAGCCUCACUUAACCUAAUUCAUGGAAAAUGACGGUUUUGCCUCUUGACCUAAUCGAAGCCUAUAAAUACCGAGACAAGUUGAAGAAACCCGACGGCCUCUUCACAGCUUCCUCACCGCCUCCUAAACCUAGAUCUCGCAGCCUCCUUCGACGAGACUCUCAGCUCUCCUAGCUCCAUGAUGUGUGUGUAAUUUCAGUUCAUAACUACGAAAGGCGAAUGAACGAGUUAUCCUAUGUUAUAGAAUAAGCCGGCAAAUCUCCCUAUACUCCGUUACUCAAUUGACGCAGGCAAUGAUGCAUAGAUCGACACAUUAGGGUUGGAUUCGCUAAGUACUCUAAGUCCUGUUACUCAACUUACGCUGGUAACAACACGAAAGAUUGGUAACACUAUGUCCGAGAUUAGGUUUACCCGAUUCGAGCUCCUAACACAUGCAUUAAGUAAAAGAUGUCCCAAAAGAAUCUAAUUAUGAGCGAAAUAAUAGAUCUAUAAACCUAAUAUGAUUUGAACCAUGAAUCCCCUUUGAAUCACCCUAUAAAACCCAACAAAGAAAACUGCUCGCUCAUGAUGCUAAGAAACGACAUGGAGAUGAAGUAGAAAAGCAUAAAUAAACGAGUAUGAAUAAACAAAGGGAGUUCAAAGGAAACUUCUCUAGUGUCACAGAAGAUAACUUGUCUCCCCAAAAGUCUUGAAAGAAAGAGUAGAAGAAAGAGUAGAAGAGAAAACAAUGAAGAAUAAAGGAGAGAGCUUCAAAGGACGACUUCUUCGGAAUGCAAGAGCUUCGGCGAGGUGGAGCUAGGAGAGCUGAGAGUCUCGUCGAUGGAGGCUGCAAGAUCUAGGGUUAGGAGGCGGUGAAGAGCUGUGAAGAGGCCUUAGGGUUUCUUCAACUUGUCUCGGUAUUUAUAGGCUUCGAUUAGGUCAAGGGGCAAAACCGUCAUUUCCCACGAAUUAGGUUAAGUGAGAUUCGAGUUUCUGGACAGGGCACGACUGGUCACGACUGGGGUGAGGUGUGAAGAGCAGCUCGGAUGCAAGCUCCAUGACCGGGAGCUCCAAGAGGCGCCGGACCGGACACAAGGCUGUCUGGCCGGUCCGGGACAUGUCUUCCCUCUUCAGGACAUAACUUCCGAAUGGCUUGAUGAAAUGCUUUGAUUCUACUUCGAGGCGAAUCUUGAAUCUUCUAGCUUUCCAUAGCCACCGAGAUAUCUUGAUUUGGUAAUUGGGAAGACGUCGAACGGACGCCAUACUUCUGAGGCACAGAAAUUGUCUUGAAACGGGAUUUGAUCGAUUUUUACUCUUUUUUUCUUGAAAACACAUUAUUCAUCCUUGAAGCAUAAAUACUUGAAAACAUCCUUGAAAUCUCCAAUAUCUCCUGUUUUCUCUAUGGAAAACCUAAAUAAAACAUAGUAAAAGUGGGCUAAAAUACGAUGUUAUCACUCCACCUCGCCGAAGCUCUUGCAUCCCGAAUAAGUCGUCCUUUGAAGCUGUCUCUUUUACUCUUCAUUGUUUUCUCUUCUACUCUUUCUUCUACUCUUUCUUUCAAGACUUUUGGGGAGACAAGUAUCUUCUGUGACACUAGAGAAGUUUCCUUUGAACCCCCUUUGUUUAUCAUACUCGUUUAUUUAUGCUUUUCUACUU